GACGCGUGGGUCUUGAUGGCUGCACCCUCGGUUUUGUUUAUCCUUGGGGUGGGUCAAAUUUACGGGAUUACCUGACUGCCGUGUGCAGUUCGGGGCUGGGCUCAAUGUGGGCGGGGUCAAACGUCGGGGCUGGGCUCAAUGUGGGUGGAGUCAAACACGUUAAACGCGAACCCUUCCCGUCCCCUUCAAGAUCACCCAAGUUGAGGUAAACGUCGAAGUUGUCAACGUCAACGAAUGCGAAUCUUAAUCGAACCUAACCUAAUGGAUAAAAAUACCGACCAUGGAAGAUCCCCUUCCGACUGUGAUUUUCUUUAUCAAAGGAAAACAUGCAGCAAAUAAGGCAAUGGUGGUGCCUAUUUCACCUCUCCUGUAGAACGUUCCCAUGCCGAUGAUGUAGAAGAUUCCCCCCACCCCCCCCAAGAAGUCACAGCAUGUCACAUCAGCAUCCAGCUCUGCAGGAUCAGGUACUGUAUAGGCUAUUAGAUAAAGUAAGAGGCAUUCUUGACACACAUCCCUAGAUUUUCCGUUACAUUAUUUAAUGACCACAAUCUGUUUUCUCAGUAGACUAUACUGAAAACAAAAUGCACGGCGAACUGUGAGCUGGGUAUGUAGUCUACUGUGUGUAAUGCUGAAGGCUUGAUGUAUGGAAAGAUAUAAUAGCUGUGAUGACUUGUUGAGUAGUUAUAGAUAUCACUGAAAACCCCUUUAGUAAUAGUGGCUUUUGUUUGCAUGGUGGUAUUGUGAAAGUGGGGUGUAAUUGUUCUUGAUCACCCAAUGAGGCACUACUCCUAAUAUUAAUUAUUCCUUUUUCUUAGAGGAAGCAGAUCUUCUAAGGGACACCCUAGAGGCACGCCAAAACAUUUAAAGGAACCGUUCCCCUCCCUACUGUAAUUGGGAUAGGCGGGGAAGACCGCAUCACAACCCCUAAAGAACUACAGUCACCUGAGUCGCUGAUCUCUUUACUGGAGCUGGUAUAACUUAAUGUACAAAGCCCAUUCAGCUUGUCAGUAUGUUUAUAUGAUAUAGUCUGUCUCCAUUCUCAUGAGGAAAAUAAAUGGCAUAACUCAGGAUAGGUAGUAACUGUAU
rnacentral:lncRNA from 1 species